CUGUUAUUGGAGGAUAUUGAAGUCAUGCGAUGGGGUUUAUACUUUUAUUUGCCAAAACGGGACCUCUGUUGAGGUAUAGAUCUCGCAAGAGGUUGAAUAUUCCGUACUAAGGAUCUCUGAUCCGGAAAGUCUAGAGACUACACGGCAAAGCCAUAGUGGCUAGUAUAAAUGGAUAGUCCCUAGUUAACCAUCUAGGCAUCCCAUACAAAAUGGUUU
rnacentral:autocatalytically_spliced_intron from 2 species